GGCUACGUAGCUCAGUUGGUUAGAGCACAUCACUCAUAAUGAUGGGGUCACAGGUUCAA
rnacentral:tRNA from 1 species